UAAAGUUCCAUGCCCAUUGAGGUUAUACUCGUCAUUAAUCAAAUUAACUUUCAAAACCUGAAGAAGAAAAAAACUAAUCAUUUGAUUAAUUGUACAAAAAAAUUGAGGCAAUAGCUAAUCUACUCCAACUAUAGAUUUUUAUAUAAUCUUCAUAUACUAAAGCCUAAUAUUUUCUCCUAUAAUUUCAAGUCCUUUCAGAAAGAUCAAAGAUUACUUUAAUACGUACUAUAAUUAUUGCGGCUCAUGGGGA
rnacentral:misc_RNA from 1 species